rnacentral:rRNA from 1 species
UACAGAGGUCUCAAGCGUUGUUCGGAUUCAUUGGGCGUAAAGGGUGCGUAGGUGGCGAGGUUAGUCAGGUGUGAAAUCUCGGGGGCUCAACCCCGAACUAGCACUUGUAUACUGCCUUCGUCUAGAGUACUGGAGAGGAGAUGGAUUACGGUGUAGCAGUGAAAUAGCGUAGAUAUCGUAAGGAAGACCAGUGGCGAAGGCGAAUCUCUGGACAGUUACUGACACUGAGGCACGAA